AGUUUGAUCCUGGCUCAGGAUGAACGCUAGCUACAGGCUUAACACAUGCAAGUCGAGGGGCAGCGAGAAGUUAGCUUGCUAACUUUGUCGGCGACCGGCGCACGGGUGAGUAACGCGUAUCCAACCUUCCCCUUAGUAGAGGAUAGCCCGGCGAAAGUCGGAUUAAUGCUCUAUGUUCUUCUUUGACGGCAUCUGAGGAGAAGCAAAGGUUUACCGCUAAGGGAUGGGGAUGCGUCUGAUUAGCUUGUCGGCGGGGUAACGGCCCACCGAGGCGACGAUCAGUAGGGGUUCUGAGAGGAAGGUCCCCCACAUUGGUACUGAGACACGGACCAAACUCCUACGGGAGGCAGCAGUGAGGAAUAUUGGUCAAUGGGCGGGAGCCUGAACCAGCCAAGUAGCGUGCAGGAAGACUGCCCUAUGGGUUGUAAACUGCUUUUAUAGGGGAAUAAAGUGAGGCACGCGUGCCUUUUUGCAUGUACCCUAUGAAUAAGGACCGGCUAAUUCCGUGCC
rnacentral:rRNA from 1 species